GCCUUGCUGCCGCUUUGCUUCCUCGCUCCUAGCUUGAAAGCUUCCUUCUGCGCCUCGGCUACCGCUUACGACUCCGUUUCCUCAAUAAGCCCAACUAAAGUUAGCGUCUUCUGGCCGCUGGGAAACGGCCGAUCCUGUCGCCGGCUUCCGUUCCUCGCCUGUCCUCUGGCUCUAAAAGCCCUUUCGGGCUCCCUUGGAGGAAACAGGCAGGAAGAUCAGGAAAGGGUGGCCGGGAAUGGGAUGAGGAGGGAUACCGGGAAUUUGAGAUGUUUCAGCGGGAAAUGCGGGCGAGAGCUUGAUCAAGAACUGGGUGUCCUUUGCGGUGCGUCAGCGACCCUCGCUUUUCACCGAGGCACCAAAACCUCACCUGGGAACGCAGGGUGGAGCGGAGCCCCAAUCCCACGCGCAGCGCAAAGAGUGCUUGGCUGCCCUUCGGACUGCAAUUUUGCAGCCUCUGCGACUGUAUGUUUGAUAUCCGUUUCCAAACUUUUUCUAGUUGUCUUGAGGUGAUCCCACCGUCUGGGAAAAUGUCCUUAUUUUUUUUAUUGGGAAGGAGGAGCGCCUGUUCAUAUGCAAUUACGGUGUGGUGUUUCUACUUUGCCUCCUUCGUCUGGUGGCAUUAUUUACAGAGUAAGCACUAUUAAAUAGGGUCUACUGUAAGAUAAAAGGUCUAACCAGUAAUGUUCACCCCCAACUAUUAUCUUAUUUGAACUCCAUCUGCAUUUAAGAGACAAAGUCUACUCUUUUGAAGACAGCAAUGUCCACAUUUUGGAUAGAGAGGACCGUCGGUUUGAAAGAGGAGUCAAAGAGGCCAUCUGUGUCAAAACUGACACAGAGGGGGAAGGAUACAACAUCAUCUAUCUCCAAUCUACAACACAGUCCUUUCAACAAUUCCAAGAAAACUCCACACCCAUUUGCCCUACUCAGGUGACCCUGAUGACACAGAUAGAUGUCCAGGUGGCCUCAACGGCUCUAUAAAAGAAUGCAAAUGACCAGUUGUCUGCAAGGAGUAUAAAUCCUUCCAUUCCCCACCCUCCAGUCACAGCUGAAGAAAUUUCUUGGAUGAGAAGUGGAAUGUCUUCAAAGAAAAACCAAAAAGUCCAGUUGCCUUUGAAAAAACACCUUUGGGACUACCUUUCAUACUGUAUGUGUGGAUCCAAUUUAUUAGCUAGACCAUGUUGUGUGGGAAAUUUGGGGGUCUCAUAUCAUUUCUGGGGAACUCAGGAUUGGAAAGACAGUGUUUGUUUGUUUGUUUGUUUGUUUGUUUGUUUGUUUGUUUGAUUGAUUGAUUAGCCAUCCCAGUCUACAUGACUCUGAGCAACUUAUAAAAUAUGAAGUAAAAUUAUAAAGAAAGAGUAUAUAAUCUAAAAGAAUAAGCCCCAGGGAAAAGUAACCAUCACUUAAAUUCCCAAAACAUUUUAGAAAGAGUCUUCCACAUAUUCUAACUGGGGGUCUAGGGAUGGAGCCAGGUUUUAAGACAUUUAAACAGGGCCAUGAUGGAGGCCAUAUGAAUCUAGGGUGGGAUGGUAUCUCAAGAGUAGGUGCCAUGAUGGAGGUCUACCUCUCUGUGAACCUGUUAAGGAUCCACAGAAAUGUUCUGUCUCCACUGGGGUCAAUGGAGCUCAUUCAGAGAUUAAGUGAUAAUCAUUUAAAAACUUUCUUCAAACUAAAAUCAUGCUUUACAUUUUACAUUUUCUUGGGAAUAAAUGAACUAUUUAUAUAAAUAGUAUACAAAGAAAGGAAUACAGUGUUGUUUAAAAUUUAUUCCACGUUUUUUCAGAAGAUAGUAAGAACUUUAACCAUGUUCAAGGAUUAAUUGCAACGUGGUUGGAUUAUUGCAACGCGGUCUACAUGGGGCUACCCCUGAAAAGUGUUCGGAGACUACAGUUGGUCCAGAAUGUAGCCACUCGAGCAGUCGUGGGUGCACCUAGGUACUCCCACAUUACACCAAUCCUCCAUGAGCUGCACUGGCUUCCUAUUGGUCUCUGGUCACAAUUCAAGGUGUUGGUUAUUACCUUUAAAGCCCUAUAUGGCUUAGGGCCAGGCUAUCUUCGAGACCAUCUUCUACCACAUAGCUCCCAAUGACCGGUAAGAUCCCACAGAGUUGGUCUCCUCCAGGUCCCGUCAGCUAAACAAUGUCGCCUGAUGGGUCCGCGGGGGAGGGCCUUCUCUGUGGCUGCCCUGGCUCUCUGGAAUCAGCUACCUCCUGAGGCCAGGACCACUCCCACUCUACUGGCCUUCCGGAAAAUGGUGAAAACCUGGCUUUUCCAGCAGGCUUGGGGCCGUUGAUCUCACCAUUGCGAUCUUGUGAGAUCCGGCCAUGAGCGGUGUGUAUGGGUUUUUAAUGUCUCUUAUUGUAUAUUGUUCAUACUGUCUUUGUUGUAAGCCGCCCAGAGUCCUCGGAGAGUUGGGCAGCAUAGAAAUAUGAUUAAUUAAUUAAUUAAUUAAUUAAUUAAU